CGCGGCCUAUCAGCUUGUUGGUGGGGUGAUGGCCUACCAAGGCGACGACGGGUAGCCGGCCUGAGAGGGCGACCGGCCACACUGGGACUGAGACACGGCCCAGACUCCUACGGGAGGCAGCAGUGGGGAAUAUCGCACAAUGGGCGGAAGCCUGAUGCAGCGACGCCGCGUGAGGGAUGACGGCCUUCGGGUUGUAAACCUCUUUCACCCAUGACGAAGCGAGAGUGGCGGUAGUGGGAGAAGAAGCGCCGGCCAACUACGUGCCAGCAGCCGCGGUAAGACGUAGGGCGCGAGCGUUGUCCGGAAUUAUUGGGCGUAAAGAGCUCGUAGGCGGCUUGUCGCGUCGGCUGUGAAAUCCCGUGGCUCAACUGCGGGUCUGCAGCCGAUACGGGCAGGCUAGAGUUCGGUAGGGGAGACUGGAAUUCCUGGUGUAGCGGUGAAAUGCGCAGAUAUCAGGAGGAACACCGAUGGCGAAGGCAGGUCUCUGGGCCGAUACUGACGCUGAGGAGCGAAAGCGUGGGGAGCGAACAGGAUUAGAUACCCUGGUAGUCCACGCUGUAAACGUUGGGCGCCAGGUGUGGGGGACCUCUCCGGUUCUCUGUGCCGCAGCUAACGCAUUAAGCGCCCCGCC
rnacentral:rRNA from 1 species